UGGGGAAUUUUGGACAAUGGGGGAAACCCUGAUCCAGCCAUCCCGCGUGUGCGAUGAAGGCCUUCGGGUUGUAAAGCACCUUUGGCAGGAAAGAAACGUCAUGGGUUAAUACCCCGUGAAACUGACGGUACCUGCAGAAUACGCACCGGCUAACUACGUGCCAGCAGCCGCGGUAAUACGUAGGGUGCAAGCGUUAAUCGGAAUUACUGGGCGUAAAGCGUGCGCAGGCGGUUCGGAAAGAAAGAUGUGAAAUCCCAGAGCUCAACUUUGGAACUGCAUUUUUAACUACCGGGCUAGAGUGUGUCAGAGGGAGGUGGAAUUCCGCGUGUAGCAGUGAAAUGCGUAGAUAUGCGGAGGAACACCGAUGGCGAAGGCAGCCUCCUGGGAUAACACUGACGCUCAUGCACGAAAGCGUGGGGAGCAAACAGG
rnacentral:rRNA from 1 species